rnacentral:lncRNA from 1 species
GAGGAGCUCGACCAAGUGAUUGGCUACGAGCGUGUGAUGAACGAAACAGACUUCCCCAACCUCCCAUACCUGCAAUGCGUGGCUAAGGAAGCUCUAAGGCUUCACCCUCCAACUCCUCUUAUGCUGCCACACAGAGCCAACGCCAACGUCAAGAUUGCUGGUUAUGACAUUCCAAAGGGCUCCAACGUGCAUGUGAAUGUCUGGGCAGUAGCUCGUGACCCCAAGGUGUGGAAAAACCCGUUGGAGUUCAGACCGGAGAGGUUCCUUGAGGAAGAUGUGGACAUGAAGGGGCAUG